rnacentral:lncRNA from 1 species
UUCACUCAACUGUGGUUGAGAUCCUAUUUUCCAUCACUUGGUGCUCCAUCCAUUUCUCGUCCUUCUGCUAGCUGUUAUGGGCUAGCUAUGGAGCCCUUAACUCCUGUAAGUAUGUCCAGAAGAGACAUUUUUUCAUUCUUUUAUUCUUUAGAUUCAAUCUCUUCCUUCUUCCCUUUUCCUCCUUUUUUGACUCCGGACUAUGUACAUCCUCCUUCCACUCUAGAUAGCGCGAGCACCUCUCUGCUCAUUUGGAUUCAAUUCUUAACUGGGAGGGAGCUUUUCCACGAUAUCUUAACUGGG